rnacentral:lncRNA from 1 species
CUGAAAUGGAGAGUAAGAUUGUUCUUAGUCAUCAUCCUCUUCAACUUCCCCUUCUUCAAAUUCAGGAGAAGAAUGGAGAACAGAUAUGGGAGGAGAAGAAUUUAAAGCUUACCACUGAGACAAAAAUCGCUCAGGCUUUAUGAGAGUUAGCAAACCAUGAAGAACCCUUCAUGGUGGUAGAGAAUAUGUGCACAACUGAGCAAAAGGGUAAUGAUGACAUGGUCCUUUCAACGUUGUGGCAUGGGGGGUUUCAUCAAAAAAAUUAAUCAAUUCAUUAAUAAUAAAUCAGGUAGCAGCUCAUAUGUCUACAUUACAGGUACCAAGGGGAUGAAGUUGUUGACCAUGAAGAAGAGAUCGUGGAAAAUAAAGAAGACGCAGAUAAAGAAGAAAAUGAACAGUAACCUGAAAAGGUUCUCCUUUGUCCACUUGGUGGCAGCAUCGCCCGAGUCACUAACAAGAAGCCACACCAGGACCCUCCCUUGACUUUUCCAAAGGAUAUCUUCAAGAACUUUCACAUUCAAGCAUUCAUUCUCUUAUAGAACAGAGCAAAGAGAGAUGACACCAGUCACAAGCCCAGGAGCAUCUUUCACUUCUAUCACUCACUGUUUUUUUUAGUCUUUUUUAAAUUUUAAAGAAAUUAUCAACUCUCUUGUGCUAGAGAUUUAAAACUAGAAGACACCCUGUCAGUCAACUGAGGAUCCAUUAUUGAUAACAGAAGUUAAGCUAAGCAGAAGACAAACUUGGGAAGGUAAAAAUGUAAUUACUAUGUUCCUAAGAAGAUCCUAAAAGUACUAGAGGAGAGAAAUUCU